rnacentral:rRNA from 1 species
UACGUAGGUGGCAAGCGUUGUCCGGAUUUACUGGGCGUAAAGGGCGUGCAGGCGGUCUGUUAAGUCUAGGGUGAAAGCUCCCGGCUCAACUGGGAGAGGUCCUUGGAUACUGGCAGACUUGAGGAGAGUAGAGGAGAGUGGAAUUCCCGGUGUAGUGGUGAUAUGCGUAGAUAUCGGGAGGAACACCAGUGGCGAAGGCGGCUCUCUGGGCUAUACCUGACGCUGAGGUGCGAAAGCGUGGGGAGCAAACAGG